GAAAUGCGAUAAGUAAUGUGAAUUGCAGAAUUCAGUGAAUCACCGAAUCUUUGAACGCACAUUGCGCCCGCCAGUAUUCUGGCGGGCAUGCCUGUUCGAGCGUCAUUACAACCCUCAGGCCCCCGGGCCUGGCGUUGGGGAUCGGCGGAAGCCCCCUGCGGGCACAACGCCGUCCCCCAAAUACAGUGGCGGUCCCGCCGCAGCUUCCAUUGCGUAGUAGCUAACACCUCGCAACUGGAGAGCGGCGCGGCCACGCCGUAAAACACCCAACUUCUGAAUGUUGACCUCGAAUCAGGUAGGAAUACCCGCUGAACUUAAGC
rnacentral:misc_RNA from 1 species